UUUUAGUUUGUACAAACGGUGAGUAAACUUAUUAUUAUUGUAAAUUAUCUAGAGUUUAUUUUUAAAUGCUCUUUAUGUAUUUUAUGAAAUGAAAACGAGAUUAAAACGAGAUUUUUGAUGUUUUACAAAUAAAUGUGACAAAUAAAGAUAUAUUGGGUUGAUUAUGAAAUUGAGUAAUUGGAGGCUGUUAACUGUCUUGAAAAUUAUAUAUUUUCCUAUGAAUGGCUUAUGAGAUAUGAGUAUAUGUGGCUAUAUUUUGUAAGUGUAUUGAGAAAUUUAUGUAAGCUGUUUUUACUAUGCAGGCUGGAUAAAUAAAUA
rnacentral:lncRNA from 1 species